GGCGAACAGAUGGCAGCUCCCGGCGGCACUGCUCCUCCGGCCAGCUGCGCAACUCCUCCAGGGUGCUCUAGCCUUCCUCGGACAUGCGGCCACCUGAGACGCCAACUUCAAACCACUCUCACCUCAGCCAGGACCGGAAGUCCAGCCAUCCCGGCAAGCCUUGCGAGACCUCAUCUGGACUGAAUCCUAGAGAGGACGCGGCCUAGGCUCCAUGGCGGCCAAGAGGGAAACCGGGCCUAUCUGGUUCCCGGGAGGAAUCCACUCAGUGAUGCGCACUUCCUGAAGCAGAGGACUUCAGAACUCUCCAGACCACUUGCCUCCCAAGCCUGGGUUGCUGCAGACUUUCCAUUAUCUGGCGCUUGGGGAAGUGUAUAUGAGUACCAGUUGCUCCAUAUCCUUGCCAGAACUUGAAACGAGGUGUCCUCCUACUGAAAUGGUGUGACAUUUUUUCAUGGAAAAAUAAUCUUCUAUUUAAUGAUGCCAUCAUCACCACCAUCAUCACCAUCACCAUCAUCUCCAUCAUCAUCACCAUCACCAUCAUCACCCACAUCAUCAUCACCAUCAUCUUCAUCAUUACCAUCAUCAUCACCAUCACCAUCAUCAUAUUCAUCAUCAUCGACAUCAUCACCAUCAUCACCAUCACCACCAUCAUCUUCAUCAUCACCAUCAUCAUCACCAUCACCAUCAUCAUCACCAUCACCAUCAUCAUCACCAUCACCAUCAUCUUCAUCAUCAGCAUCAUCAUCAUCAUCACCAUCAUCAUCAUCACCAUCUUCAUCAUCAUCACCAUCACCUUCAUCAUCAUCACCAUCACCAUCAUCAUCUUCAUCAUCACCAUCACCAUCAUCAUCUUCAUCAUCAUCAUCACCAUCAUCAUCUCACCAUCACCAUCAUCACCAUCAUCUUCAUCACCAUCAUCACCAUCAUCACCAUCAUCACCAUCAUCAACAUCAUCAUCAUCACCAUCAUCAUCAUCAUCAUCACUGUUAUAACAACUACUAUACACCAGGCAUUAUUAUGGAUUAUCAUCACCUAUCUUCAUAAUAACAUCAUUACUCCUAUUUUACCAUGAAGGACACCAAGGUGCCUGUCCAAGGGUGGGAGCCCAGGAAUGGCUCACCCCACAAGCCUAACUUGACCUUCUGUCCUGUGCUCUCUCCAGGACCAUCUCAAAGCCAGGCAACAUAUGGCAAGUGUUGUAAGCAUGAUACCCCAAGGUGGUUUAAUGAAUACCCCGGAGAAAGAACUCACAUUUAUUGGUAGGUACUGCACACCAUGAUGCAUGUGCUUUUAAAGUUUAAACUUCACCUUUAGUAAGGUCUAUAUUAUCAUCCCACUCCACCUUCAGUGUCCUCAUGUACCAAGAAGGGAGAGCAAAAUUCCCCAUUUCACAGGGUGAGCAUGAUGGAAUAAAGUAGAAAAUGUAAAGUAACACACAGGGCUUGGCAGUAGUGCUCAUUAAAUGUUAGCUACUAUUAUUUUCUCCAUCAUUUAAAAAAUUUUUGUCAAAAAUUAUACAUUUAUGAUAUAUGCUAUGAUGUUUUGAUAUAUGUGCAGAUUGUGGAAUGGAUAAGUAAGCUAUUUAGCAUAGUUUACUCCCUCUUAUACUUUUUUGUGGUGAGAACUUUUAAAAUGUAUUGUCUUGGCAAAUUUCAUGGGUACAAUGUAUUCUUAUUUAAAGCUGAGAAAUCUGAG
rnacentral:lncRNA from 1 species